GUCUUUUUGCCAUUUCUAGGGCCACUCCUGCAGCAUAUGGAGGUUCCUAAGCUAGGGGUCUAAUCGGAGCUGUAGCUGCCAGCCUACGCCAGAGCCACAGCAAUGUGGGAUCCGAGCCACGUCUGCGACCUACACCACAGCUCACAGCAAUGCUGGAUCCUUAACCCACUGAGCAAGGCCAGGGAUCAAAAUGGACAGCUCAUGGAUACUAGUCGGAUUCAUUAACCACUGAGUCAUGAUGGGAACUCCCUGAACAAAUUCUAUAAAAUCUGUACUCUUUGUCACAUGUGGCUACUGAAGUGUCUGCUUGCUUUGCUUAGCAGUCAGCUAAUAGCUGGACAAUUUGGACAGAGAUUUCCUUGAAUAAGUCAAGGAAACAAUAAGUCUCUCAGACUUUGCUGAAGGGGCAUCAGGGCUCCCUUCAACUCUGCCUUGGCCUUCAAUUCUUCCUUGUACAGAGUUCAAGGUCAGCCCGAGGUUAGGGGUUAGGGCCUUCUCAGACUUUUCCUGGGUGUGUGCCCACCCUUGUGCAUACACGUGGCUUUCUAGAUUCCCAGCAGUGAGCUGACACUUCCUGCUCUGGUGCCUGUCAAGUUGCUGUUUUUCAUGGCUAUUGCGACCGGCAUGCACUGAUUUUCAGGCCACUACGCUGUUGGGAGGAGGGAUGGAGUAGGCAAGUUAAGAUACUGUAAAGCUCCCGGUUCCAAGGACUCAGCCAUUUGAUUGAACUAACUAUUUUCAAAUUGUUGGAGGCCUUAGAUGAAUUUCCAGAGUUCUAAAAAAAAGGUGGGUUUUGACACGUUCUGCAAGCAUUCUUGCUUUUGUGGAGCAGCAGGGUUUGGGAGGUCCUAACUCCACCAUCCCGGGAAAUGCUUUUCUUCAGUCUUUAAAAAUUUCUCUCUCAGUUGAAGUAAAACCUGACAACCUUCCUUGCAAUAUCUGUGAGCUGCCGGGUGGGUUUUGUUCGCAUCUGUUCCCUUCAGUGAGGGUGUGUGGGGACCACGGCUUUAUGCAGAAGCGUCGGUCCAAACACGUGCCCCUUAGGUGCCUACAGGCUUCCCCCCUCCUGGGAGCCCAUUUCGAGGCCUUUUACACCAAGACCAGCAUCUGGGAGCCAGCCCUGGGGCCGCCCCAGCGUUAGCUCACUUUGGUGACCAUCUGGGGUUGUGUUGCUCAUCUGGGGCCCCUGAAAAUUUCCACUACUCCUCUGCAAGCUCAGCUCUCCAUCUAAAAGGUGUGCAUCUUACGUGCCUGGCAUUUCUAAGCUGUAUUUUUUUUUUUUUUAAGCAGGAGUGUUCUCAGGUUAUCAUGACCGGACUCUUCCCGGGAAAAAGGGACACCCUCUAGGUAAACACUCACAUAAACACACACGUCUAGCUAACGGAACGCAACAGGGAGAAGCAAGGACCGCCCAGAAGCCGUGGUGAAGACGGACAGCAUGAGGGUCUUGCAAGCAGAGGAGCGAGUCUGACCUGGGCCCACGGGUCUCCAGGACCGCUUCGUCCACCUCUGGCCCCCACUGGAGGCUUAAUGUGGGGGAGGGAGUGUUGAGGGUGCAGCUACAGCCAGGACUAAGGGACCCUCUGUAGGCCCAGACUCUCUGUCCACCCACGCAGGGACCUAGUCUUCCUGCAGCAGCAGCCAGGAGCCUCCGGGACAUCCUAAGGCCCCAGGAACCUCCUCCUGGCAGCACUCAGAACUAGUGGCAGGUGCAUAGACCAAAGUUCUGUGGGAAGAAUGUCUGCUCACUACAGCAGGUGCCAGGAGAUGUUCAAGGAAGAGUUAGAGACUGAAUGUUUGUCCCCCGGCCCCAAAACAAAGCAGCAUAUGGUGGGAUCCGAAACCCCCUGGGAUGGCAUCGGAAUGCGAGGUCUCUGGGAGGUCAUGAGGUCAUGAGGGUUGAAGGUGCAGCUCGGAUCCAGUGUUGCCGUGGCUGUGGUGUAGGACUGCAGCGGUAGCUCCGAUUCAACCCCUAGCCCGGGAACUUCCUAUGCCACGGGCGCAGCCAUAAACAUUUUUAAAAAGGGGACUCCAGAGAGCUCUCCCACCUCCUCCUCCACGUGAGGGCGCAGGGAGAAGGCGGUCUGUGACCCAGGCGGUGUGUCCUCACCCGACACCGAAUCUGCGGACACCUUGACCUCGGCCUCAGACUGUGCAGAUUGCUGGCCGGGAGGCUCCCUGGACGGUACAUGAAGUCAAGGGCAACUGGAAGCAAUGCUCUGGAGAAGGAGGCUGCCCGGAUCUGGAUGGUGUGGCACGUGGGAGGACCGGAGGAUCCAUGGUCAGAGGCGACGUGGUCCACGACUCCUUAGUGGGAUUUGAUCGCAAGGAGCAGGUGCAAAGACGUGUGUACUGGGAUGCCCAACGCAGCGCUGGCCGUAACUGCAGGAAGUUACCCACUCUCUGGAGGCCAAGUGGAUCACUUCAGGUAAGCCCACACUCAGAAAACGCCGCAUUUGCCCGUCAUUCUGCGGAGAUGUUCGUGGGCUCCUGCGAGGUGACAGUGAAUCGGGAGGGUGUUCACGUGGGGUCCUGCCGCCUGGCUCCCUUCCAGCUCAGCCACAGGUCAGGGGGCCCGAUCCAGGGCAUUAGAGCCACCUGACAAAGCUGCAGACCUUGGGCUGUUUCAGAGGGGCCCCUGGGCUUUCUGGGGACAUCAAGCUUUCCCUGUGCCCCGUCUCCAGCAGCCACUCUGCCGCAAUCUUGGGGGAGGACCCUGGCUGUGGCUGCAUGCACAGGGCGGGGGCUGAAGGCGAGGGGACCUGAGCCCUGGAGUUCGGCCCACAGCUCAGUCUCCUGGCUGCCCCCACCCAGUGACCCCAAGCCCGCCACCUGCAACCGCAUCCCCUGGCGGUGGGUGUGCUGCUCCCCACCCCAUCCCCAACACAGACCUCUGUAAUCGACCAGGUCGAGGCUGAGGGGGAAAUGCCGCAAGUCAGAGAGCCAGUGUGUGGGGUGAGCAGACAACUGGGGGGUGACAUGGCUCCUGUCCCAGGGCCCCCGCUCCAUGCUGCUCCUUCCCCGCGCCAUGCUGGAAACUGCUGCCUUGUCCCUGGGGUCUCAGCUCACUGGUUACACCCUGACCACGGGAUUUAACCCGUCCUUCAGCCCAGUCUGUCCAUUUCUUCACAGCACACUCCUGCUCUGACACCCUCUGGACGGGUAGUUGUCAUCCCCCUCCCCCGCCCAGUGUCCCCAGCUCACUCAGCCCCACUGGAGACCAGGCCCUCGGGAGAGUUGGGGGAUGGUGGAGGGUGUGGGGGACCCCGGCCUCGCCCCCACUGUCUUUUCAACAACAUCCCUGAGGCCUCGGCCACCGGAGGACGCAGGCAGGGAAGGAGGUUGGUCCUGCGCUGUGGGCCAGAUGGGGAGCAGUGCUGUCCCCGCGUGCAGACCCGGUCCUGGGCACCCGGCCUCCGCCUCGCUCCCGGGCCUCUCGGUCGGCGUGGCCAGCUAACCGAGCUUGCUGAUAGCUUGGGAACGUGGUGAUAAGGGCUGAGCAUGGGGAAUGGUUACCUCCUGGCUCUUGUGAGAAUCACCAGGGUGGCUGUUUCAAGUGUCUGCCCCCAAUUUUCCAGCGGUCCCUCCCUUGGGAGUCUGGGCAGACAGGCAGGGGCGCGGCGGCGAAGGGGGCCGCUUUCCAUUUUUAGGUUGAAUUCCUUUCUGGAAAGCUGCAGGCAUGUCUCUGGCAUGAGUGCCCCGGGGCUGGGGGUGUGCAGCACUCUCCCUGGCCGGGCCCCCCGUGGCUCACGUUCCUCCUUGUCUGCCUCCUUCAGCCGGGAACGGGUGAGUGCCUGGACCCCAGGGUGCCCUGCGUUUGAGGCUCCCAUGAGGGAAACACCAGCCACGAACAUCCCACACCACGGAGCUCAGGACCGCCAGCAAGUGCCUGAGGUGGGCACAUGCAGGUGGGAUGGCUGGGUUCACAAACGCAAAAUCAGGAUGCCCAGUGAGAUCUGAAUUUCAGAGAAACGGGGAGUGCUUCGUGCCAGCGAGCCCCCCGGCGUGCGCAGUCCCGCCUCGCCAGCGGAGGCUGAUGUCAGAGAAGCUGCCCCUGGGCACGCUGGGUAAGUGGCCACACGGGUGAACGCUGGGGGGCAAGCUCAGGGGAUGCCCCCAAAGGCGUGGCUCUAGAUGCACUGUCCAGAGACUGCCACGGGCGCCAGCCUGAACCCGCAAGUCCAGCCACGCAGCCACCAGCCGCAUGUGGCUACUGCCCACUGGCCUGGGGCACUGAGCCUUUCAUUCUACUGUGUGUCAGGGGACAUGGUCACAGGAGGCUGUGGCCAAGUCACUGGGCAGCACAGGUGUAGGGGUGGUCCCGGAGGCCCCUCUGAGCUUUUGUGCAGACAUCUGGAAAUCUGGAGGAAAUUAUCUCCCAACUGGGGAGAUGAAGCCCCCCCCAACCCUGAGGAACUGGGGGAAGGCCAGUGAGGGGACCAGGGGGCAGGGGAGGGAGACAGGAGGGGACAGCAGGCAGGUCCAGCCCCCCUCAGGCCACUGGACACAGUCUGGACGUGCAUUCUAUUCCUAGUAAUGGGUCAAGCGGUAACUCCACAAGCUGUUCUGGGCAUUUUCACCGUCCUUCCGGCUGUGGCUUCGCCCUGCCUGUCUGGUGCAGCGGGUUUGAUUGAUUGCUUGCUGUGCCCACCGACCCAGCUGCCGUGUCCUGAUCCCCGAGAUGGUCGUCAGCCUGAAAGUCCCAGAGAAGGGGACUUGGGGAGGAGGUUUCUUGGCACCAGGCCAGGAAACCCCAGGGGUGGGAGGCGCCAGGCUCUCUGCUCAGACCCCCCACCCACCCCCCGCCCCCCGCCAGACUGCAGACCCUCCAUUCUGCUCUGCGCUGGGCAGCUCCUCCCAGGUACCCUGGAAGGUCUCCCUCUUGACAGGGUGACAGCGGUUAAAUCUCGUCCCCAGCCUGACACCCUGUAUCUGUUGCCAGUUACAGGAUCUGACACUGCUGGGGGACAGUGAGUCGAUGCAAUGAGUCUGAGAGACAGCCUCCCUCCUAGCCCAGGAUGCUGCAAGGCCUCUGCCACCCGAGCCGGGGGUGGACUCUGAAACGAGACGUGGCCUCUUUGAAAAGGAAGUUCUUUAAAUUCUCU
rnacentral:lncRNA from 1 species